rnacentral:rRNA from 1 species
UACAGAGGUCUCAAGCGUUGUUCGGAUUCAUUGGGCGUAAAGGGUGUGUAGGUGGCGCCGUAAGUCGGGUGUGAAAUUUCGGAGCUUAACUCCGAAACUGCAUUCGAUACUGCGGUGCUUGAGGACUGGAGAGGGACGCGGAAUUCCAGGUGUAGCGGUGAAAUGCGUAGAUAUCUGGAGGAACACCGGUGGCGAAGGCGGCGUCCUGGACCAACACUGACACUGAUGAGCGAAAGCCAGGGGAGCAAACGGG